AUACUAAAUAGGAAAAUAUGUACUCCUUAAUAUGUAUUUAAUAUGCCUGACUUGUUUUCCUGAUCACAGGGAAUUUAUCAAUAAGUAUAAAUUUAGGCAGAAAAACAUAUACCAAACUGAAACUGAAGCUUAUGUGUACAGAAAUAUUCUGGACAUUGUGAUCAGGUAUCAUUUAAAAACAAAACAAAAAACCACAAAAAAACAAAAGUUACAAAAAAAAAAAAAACAGUUCUGUGCUAUUCUUGAGAACUUAGCAUAUUAUCUUCAGAUUUGUUACCAACUGUGCAUUUUAAAAUAGGUUCCUUAGUUUUAUAGUACCGUGUCUGGGGCAGUUGUUAUUUGCCAUCAUUGUCUUGCUUUUCAGGAUUCUAUGAGCUUAAUUCAAAUAGUUUUCACUGCAGAUAUUUAAAAAAUUAAUGAGUAAGGUUAAUAGUUAUCUCUCGUAUGCAUCACUAUCCUGUUCUUUCAUCAUUCUGACUACUAUCAGAUAACCGAGUAGAACAGUAUAAACAUCAUGGUCAUCGCGGCUCUCAAAGCCACACUGUAAAAUGCUUUCCUUGGUCUCAGAUGAGUUCACAGUCUGCAAGUACAAACAAUAUGCCAGUGUGUUUGCUUGUGCUGUUAACUUCUAAGUCAAAAUUGGUCAAAGGAAGGAAGCCCUAGAUAGUGGGAGAUACUUUCAUAUUUUUAGGUUCUCCCAACUAGUCAAGGGACAUCUCGAAACACAUUGCCUUCUUGGGCCGCCUGAAUAUGUCUAUUUUUUCUGCUCCAUCUCUUAUAAUUACUGAUCAGUAAUAUGACCAAGAAGGUAAGCAUUGGCAUUCUUCAUGAAUUUCAAAGGGCAGGUGUUUCGAUGCAGCUUCCAAAUUGGGAGUUUGGUGAAAGUUGUAAUAGCAGUCCCUUUAUUAAUGACUAAUUCCAGGGCUUUCUGUGUUUGUUGCAAGUAAAAAACAAACAAACAAACAACUUGGCAUUCUUGGAGGGGUGUGUGUGUGUGUGUGUGUGUGUGUGUGUGUGUGUGUGUAUACAUGUGUAUUUGAGUGUACAUGCAUACAUAUAGAUAAUUUGGAGAUUUUUUUUUAAUAGCAAAAAAGUUGUCUCCAUAUGUAUGUGCUGGUGCUCUUAAAACUUUAAUGUGUAAUUUUAAUUUUCCUGACAAUGUCUGUGAAAACUUUAUAUGACUAUUAAAAAAUAUAUAAACAACUACUUGCUUUCGGAUCUUGAAAGAAAAAUGUGAAGACGUGUGCCCAACAGCCUGUUUUCAUCUACAAUUUCACAAAGAACUUUUAAUAUGCCAUUACCAUGCUUUCGUGCAUCCGUGGAUUAAAGGGCUCCUAAUGCAUACUGACAGGAUAAAGACGUGAAGGCUUCAAAGAAAGUGUUUUAGUUUAUCCUGUCAAUAAAGUAUGGAUUGAGGAAUCUUAAUUAGACACUUAUGGGAGGAACCAGAAAGCUCCACCCAUGACUUGGGGAUAAUAGGCCAUUGGGGUGAUGACUUUUAUUCGGUGUGGUUAUGCUUUGGAAAUGUUUCAAGGUUUCUGUAGUUGUCAAUGGCAAGAGUGCCUGCCUCCAUCUCAAAGCUUGCUGUAGCAUAUUGGCUAUCUCAUACUCUUCUGCUGAAAGGUAUAAAUGUUCAACUUUUCAAAAAAAAAGUCAUUUAAAUGUACAUGGUUAUUUGGAGGUUCUACUUGUAAGUGAACCACAGUAACAAAUCCUUGAUUAAGGCUGGUAUAUUUUCCUUAACUGAAGUCGUUGUGCCUACAUUAUACACUGGAUACUAUUUUACACCUGUCUCUCAUUAGUUCUACUUGUGCAUUUUACCAUUGUGUAGUUAGGCAUAAGCUUUGAGUUGAGUACAAGAACAGUUAAAAUAUUGUUAUCUCCAUUUUGUUGAUUUCAAAGAUAACCUUGAUGUUAGUUUAACCCCUUGAGGAAUGAUGCAUAUGUCAGUGGAGCAUUUUUGGUAGAAUUUGAUUCAACUAUAGAAAAUCCCAGAAGUGCUCAUUUCUAAUGUGGUCUGACACAUCAUGGGCUUCUUGGCAUCGUACCCUAUGCUUGGACUCUGUUAGAAUGGUUACAAAGGAAAGGAGAGCAUAUGAAAUCAGUGAAGGGGUUGAGAUAAUAUAUUAUGUCUGUGUAAUAUAAAUCGAGUUUUAAAUUAUUUUUUUAUGAAAUCAAUAAAGAUGAUUCAAUUCUUUAAAAGUAAAUCUUUGUGUAAUUUUAUGAGAAAGCAGCUAUUAAAAUACAGUGAUUCAAGUCUAUAAGGCAAUUUAUAUGCUAUAUUUAGUUUUCCAUUCUGAAUAAUAAAGGGAAUAAAUAUAUUAAUUAGAAAAUCAUUUUAAGACCAGCUUUCUUUCGUUGCUUUUUAAAAACAUUGAAUUUCUUUAAGCCAUAAGGAUGCAUAAAUGAUACAGGGCAUGGCCUCAUGAGUAACAUCAACAGAUAUUGCAGAAAUAACAGAACACAUCUAGAAAUGUAUGGCAGUAAUGUUAAUCUAUAGUAUCUUUUGCAUGAUUUGUACAUUGACAUUGUAUGAAAUGAGCACAGUGAGUUAUUUUUUUUGUUAUUGUUCUCGCAUCCAAAGAGCUGGGGAGAAAAAUAUAUUAAGAAUGUAUUUAUAAUCACUAUUUUGAAAUAAAGUAAAGAAAACACAUUGUAUUGUUUUUACCCUGAUUUAAUUAUUAGUAUUUAGGUUAGUUUAUGAGACAAGAAAAUCAAGUAAUGCUAUAAAGGCUAAUGUAAAUCACAGAAAGGAACUGUUUUAACGACUUUGUUUGCUUUUAAUAACAUCAAGGUAUUAGAGAGACUUUAUUAAAUGCCAUUUUUAUGAAAGUGUUAAUAAAAUUGUUUGCUACAAUGGUACUUCUGAAGCCACACUUUGUUAAAUAUAUUUAUCUUUUCAUUGUUUUUCAGAAGAAAUAAAGCAGUAACCAAAUUGAUUUUUUUCACCCAGAUUCGAGGUCUUCAUAGAGCUUUAGAAUACUGUUUGUAUUAAACUUAAUUGUUAAACCUACGUUAAGAGAUGCUUUCCUUUCAAACAUCUUUGCAGUUUGCGUUCUUUUCCACCAGUGGCCUCUUUGGAUGAGAGUCAAUGCUGAGAUUAACAUGCUUUGAUUCUUGCCUAUUCCCAUUAAUCAGUUGGACUCUGACAUAAUUGCAGAUAAGGAAAUAUUAAUAUUCAAUCUUAACCACCUAUUUCAGUACUUUUAACUAUCUAUUUCAGGACCUCUAUAAUCCAUGGCCAGCUUGAUGGUUACAGGUUAGUUAUCCAUUUAUGGGGUAGAUUGAUUUUUAUUUGGUUCUUUCAAAGAUGACCAAAAUCACCAAUCUAUCAUUCUACCAGAGUAUUACGGUGGAGAAAAAGAUGAACCAAUUGCAUUAUGGUUAAUUUGAAGGCAGCAAAGGUUAGAAACCGACCAAGGAAGUGGACUUAAGGCAUGUUUUCUUAUGGGAAGAGAUGGAAAGACAGAGGAAAACAAAGAACAUAAAUUAACAUUGUUGUGGUCUAGCUCUGUCACUGGCUAUGCUGAUGACAUGAACAGCAGAGAUAAUUCGUAUGAGUACUUUUGGACUGAGUGUUUUAUGUAUCACCGGUAAUACAUCACAUGAUUGUGGGACUUAUUUUGUUCUUUUUGAGUACUGAGCACAGGGCUUUGGGUCCCAGCCACCCAGUUAUGUAGGCAAGUGACAUCAAAUGAAGAUUUGGCUUCAUUUCCAGUAUUCGUUCAAUUAGUCACUAUGGUCAGAUGGGCUGAACUAAAAUAUCCUGUUUGUGGCUUUACUUACCGGGAAUAACUGGUGACAAAUAUCAAGUUCACCUGAUAAUUGUUAACUCUCCAUGUCAGCUUUGCUGGGAAUCUGUCCUUUGUUAAAAGAAAAUGGAAGGUUAAAUGAAUUUUAAUAGCUUCAUUUGUACAAAACUGCCCUUAGUCUAAUUUUGAAUUUCAUUUGUUUUACUUUCCACUGGUUGAUAAGAUUGCAUUUUAGAAAGGGAGCUCAAGGAAGGAAAACUGCAUUGUCUAUCUUCUCUGAAACACUAUGACUUUUUAAUUCUUUUUUUUUUGUGACUUUUUAAUUCUUUAAAGAUUAUUUUUAGCUUGUUGUUCCUAUGUCUACAGAGCAAAAAUAAAGAAGGCCUCUGAGACUGCUGCUUGACUACUUUAAGUCAAAUAAUUGCGAUUGAGAAUUAAAAGGUUCAAAUGUUUCAUUAAAUUGUAAUUACUAGAUCCGCUGACUAUAGAACUCAGCACCAGGAAGGAAUUACUCAGUCCUCCACCUUAGUUUGCUUUUGUAUACACUGGCUAAAUAGAAAUUCCGGGGAUUCAAUAAUACAUCAAAACUGAGAAAUUACUUGUUUAACUUAAAAAUCUUAUGAAUAAGGCCUUCAGAGAGAUGAUAUGAAUACGUAAUGAAAAAUAGAAAACAUCACUUCCAAAUUAGCUGCAGGGAGGAAAUAGUUUUCUAAAGUCCCUGAACAAUAGAUUGCUCUUAGUUGGCACCUCACAAAGACUAGCUCGUGUCAUGUACUGCUGGUUAACAGCCUAAGGAAGCCAUGUUGUGCAGUGGCUGCUGCUCUUGGAAGCCUUUGGAAAUGAUAGUAAGCUCUGUUCUCCCUACUGAGAAUUGCAAUGUAUAUUUUCAUCAUUGUUCCAUGUAAACUGAACCAUUGUGGUAAAAUUCUGGAGUUGAUAUUCAGUAAUUUUAAUGCUGUUUUCACUAAUAAAAGUCUUUUCUUAUAGGU
rnacentral:lncRNA from 1 species